rnacentral:lncRNA from 1 species
GCACUCUGCUUCCGUUGCAGUGCCCUCCUGGCACGUGGUCUGGCAGUGAAGGUAGAAGGAGUGUGCAGGAAUGCCAGCCGUGUCCUGGGGGGUAUUACUGCAACAGCUCUGGGCAGAGGGCCCCCUCAGGACACUGCAGCCCAGGGUAAGUAGGAGAGCAUCAUAUUUAUGUACUCUGUGUAAGGAGAGGUGUCCUACAAGGGGUCUGCUUUACCCUCUUGGAAUAAUAGAGUAUUUUCCUGUGUUUGUGGCUGCAGGUACUAUUGUGUCACUAGAGCCCAGACCCCAGCACCCACUGAUGGCCUCUCAGGAGCUCCAUGUCCAGUCAGUCACUUUUGUCCUCUUGGAUCCGGGAGUCCAGCCCCGUGCCCCCCAGGCUCCCACAUGCCGCACACCCACGGAGAGCAGUGCUAUCCUUGCCCGGUGGGUGAAUUCUGUGUCUCUGGUGAGAAGCCACAGCCAUGUCCCCAGGGUGAGUUAUGGUUCCCACUUAAAUGUCUAGUUUGUCUUCGAUUUUCUAGAACAGAUUGUGAUCUUUCCUUUCUUUUCCAGGUUAUUUCUGUCCCAAGGGCACAGCUCUUCCGAUUGCUUGUCCGGCCGGGUCCUAUAACCCUUCCCAAAGGCAAGCCAGCUGCCUCCCCUGUCCUGAAGGCUUCUUCUGCCCCAGAAAUUCCUCUUCCUUUUUGGAGAACGAAUGUUCAGCCGGCCACUACUGCCCUCCCGGUACUGCUUCUGCAACUCAGUUCCCGUGUCCUCAGGGGACUUACAGCCCACAGCCUGGAAGCAGCCUGAUGUCUCACUGCACCCCCUGUGACCCAGGUAACCAGCAAAUAAACAUCUCUCAGGCUGAGGAGGGGAGAAUGUAUGAAAAUGUGUCUUGAACAUUCCUGACCUUCAGCAGAUGAACUGUGUAAGGACACAGUUUGUUCUCCGAAGUAUCUUUCUUUUUUUUUUUUCUGCUGGUACUAAUGGCAUUGCGUUGCUUUCUCAGGGCACUACUGUGCGCUUGCAGGGCAGCCGCGCGUUACAGGACCCUGUUUGGCUGGGUUCUACUGCAGCGGAGGUGUUUCUAGUCCCACACCUACAGAUGGUCUUCUGGGGAAUGCAUGCCCCAAGGGAAAUUACUGUCCUCUGGGCUCUGCCUUUCCACAGCCGUGUCCUCCUGGCUAUUAUAGCAACUCAACUGGGAAUACUGGGAUUGAGGACUGUCUCCUAUGUGAUGCAGGGUACUUCUGCAAUGGGACUGGACUUGUGUCUCCAACUGGAUUAUGUGAGGCUGGAUUCUACUGUAGUGGAGGAGCCAUUUCUCCUAAGCCUCCCAGGACAACGGUCAGUGGAGGACCGUGUCCACCUGGACACUACUGUGUGGUGGGGAGCACCAGAGCCCAGCCGUGCCCUGCGGGGAGUUACAGCCCAUUUUGGAGCAUGGCACAGUGUCUGGAAUGCCCGGAGGGCUUUUACUGCACAGUGGCUUCCACAAACUACACGGAUUGCCCUGCAGGUAGGUCUGAUGGCACCUACCCACUCAUUCUGGGAAGUUGUGUUUAAGAGAUGAGCAGACACCCUUGUGGCUUUUUGGAGUAGAUUUAUCAUCGGACUGGGUUG